rnacentral:rRNA from 1 species
CUUUUAUGGAGAGUUUGAUCCUGGCUCAGGACGAACGCUGGCGGCGUGCCUAAUACAUGCAAGUCGAGCGAACAGAGAAGGAGCUUGCUCCUUUGACGUUAGCGGCGGACGGGUGAGUAACACGUGGGCAACCUACCUUAUAGUUUGGGAUAACUCCGGGAAACCGGGGCUAAUACCGAAUAAUCUAUUUCACUUCAUGGUGAAAUACUGAAAGACGGUUUCGGCUGUCGCUAUAAGAUGGGCCCGCGGCGCAUUAGCUAGUUGGUGAGGUAACGGCUCACCAAGGCGACGAUGCGUAGCCGACCUGAGAGGGUGAUCGGCCACACUGGGACUGAGACACGGCCCAGACUCCUACGGGAGGCAGCAGUAGGGAAUCUUCCACA